rnacentral:rRNA from 1 species
GAUGAACGCUGGCGGCGUGCUUAACACAUGCAAGUCGAACGGAAAGGCCGAAGCUUGCUUCGGUACUCGAGUGGCGAACGGGUGAGUAACACGUGGGUGAUCUGCCCUGUACUUCGGGAUAAGCUUGGGAAACUGGGUCUAAUACCGGAUAUGACUAUCUCUUGGAUGGGGUUGUGGAAAGCUUUUGCGGUAUGGGAUGAGCUCGCGGCCUAUCAGCUUGUUGGUGGGGUAAUGGCCUACCAAGGCGUCGACGGGUAGCCGGCCUGAGAGGGUGUACGGCCACAUUGGGAAUGAGAUACGGCACAGACUCCUACGGGAGGCAGCAGUGGGGAAUAUUGCACAAUGGGCGCAAGCCUGAUGCAGCGACGCCGCGUGGGGGAUGACGGCCUUAGGGUUGUAAACUCCUUUCGCAAUCGACGAAGCCUUUUGGUGACGGUAGGUUGAGAAGAGGCACCGGCUAACUACGUG